rnacentral:rRNA from 1 species
AUGCACUCUACUGUCCAUAUGGCUAUUUCUUGCCCGUUAACUUUACGUCCAGUUAUCUCUACUUUUAUAAAAAAAAACAGAGUUUGUAAUGAUGGUGUGCCUACCAUCCUGCAACAUAGAUCAUUCGAUUUAUACCCGACGGAUAGGAAGGAAACUAUGGCAAUUUUGCAAAAAAGAACCCACGCCCCUCUCCACCUGUUGUUGUGCACUGUAGACAAGAAAGUUCGGACAGACGUUGCAUCGUCCAUCUGCCUCAUCAAAUUGACAGAGCCUGCAUUUUUUUACUGCUUGGUUUGUUGGUAA